rnacentral:rRNA from 1 species
UGGUUGCCCUGGGACAAGGCCGUAGGAGGUUCGGUAGGGAAAUCCGCCGAGCAACUCUGAGAGCCGAUGUCGAAGUCUUAGACCGAAGUCCCCGAAUCCAUGCCUCCAAGAAAAGCCUCUAGGGAGAUCGCACGCGCCCGUACCAAAACCGACACAGGUGGGCGGGUAGAGAAUACCAAGGAGAUCGGGAGAACCCUCGUUAAGGAACUCGGCAAAAUUGCCCCGUAACUUCGGGAGAAGGGGCGCCCCGUCAGGGUGUAGGACUUCGCGUCCGAAGCCCGAGGGGGCCGCAGUGAAUAGAUCCAAGCGACUGUUUACCAAAAACACAGGUCUCUGCGAAGUCGAAAGACGACGUAUAGGGGCUGACGCCUGCCCGGUGCCGGAAGGUCACGAGGAGGGGUUAGCCGCAAGGCGAAGCUCUGAAUCCAAGCCCCGGUAAACGGCGGCGGUAACAAUAACCGUCCUAAGGUAGCGAAAUUCCUUGUCGGGUAAGUCCCGACCUGCACGAAUGGCGUAACGACUUGGAUGCUGUCUCAACGAGGGACCCGGUGAAAUUGUAGUCUCGGUGAAGAUGCCGAGUAGGCGCAGCUAGACGGAAAGACCCCGUGAACCUUUACUACAGCUUGAUAUUGGAGUUCGGGACAUCUUGUCCAGGAUAGGUGGGAGGCUUUGAAGCAGGGACGCCAGUCUCUGUGGAGCCAACGUUGGGAUACCACCCUUGGUGUUCUGGUCUUCUAACCCCAUGCCGUGAUCCGGGUGGGGAACAGUGUCAGGUGGGUAGUUUGACUGGGGCGGUCGCCUCCUAAAGAGUAACGGAGGCGCCCAAAGGUUCCCUCAGCACGGUUGGAAAUCGUGCGUAGAGCGUAAAGGCAUAAGGGAGCUUGACUGCGAGACGUACAGGUCGAGCAGGGACGAAAGUCGGGCUUAGUGAUCCGGCCGUAGAGAGUGGAAUUGCGGUCGCUCAACGGAUAAAAGGUACUCCGGGGAUAACAGGCUUAUGAUGCCCAAGAGUCCACAUCGACGGCAUCGUUUGGCACCUCGAUGUCGGCUCAGCGCAUCCUGGGGCUGAAGUAGGUCCCAAGGGUUGGGCUGUUCGCCCAUUAAAGCGUUACGUGAGCUGGGUUCAGAACGUCGUGAGACAGUUCGGUCCCUAUCUGCUGUGCCCGUUGGAGGAUUGACAGGAGCUGCCCCUAGUACGAGAGGACCGGGGUGGACAGGCCUCUGGUGUAUCAGUUGUCGUGCCAACGGCACUGCUGACUAGCCACGCCUGGAUGGGAUAACCGCUGAAAGCAUCUAAGCGGGAAGCCCACCUGGAGAUGAGUCCUCCCAUCCCCUCGAGGGAGUAAGGGUCGUGGUAGACCACCACGUUGAUAGGCGAGACGU